UACGAAGGGGGCUAGCGUUGUUCGGAUUUACUGGGCGUAAAGCGCACGUAGGCGGAUCGUUAAGUCGGGGGUGAAAUCCUGGAGCUCAACUCCAGAACUGCCUUCGAUACUGGCGAUCUUGAGUCCGGAAGAGGUGAGUGGAACUCCUGGUGUAGCGGUGAAAUGCGCAGAUAUCAGGAGGAACACCAAUGGCGAAGGCAGCUCGCUGGGACGGUACUGACGCUGAGACGCGAAAGCGUGGGGAGCAAACAGG
rnacentral:rRNA from 1 species